rnacentral:lncRNA from 1 species
AAAAUUCAAUGAAGAGAGAGGACAAAAAUAUGCUCGGCAUAAUAAAUGAGGGAGGAGGGCCUCCUCAACUGGCGGGGUGGUGCACCGCCUGAGGCAGUAGUGGCGCACUGCCCGAGGUGAUAGUUCCCCGGCCGGCACGCUGCAGGCUAGCCUACAAGCGCACAAGCCUCCUGCCGUGCACAGGGCCUUGGUGCGCUGGACGCCGCGCGGGUGGGCCUACUAUGCACAAGCCCUAGGGGCAGAGGGCCUAUCCAUGCAGGCCCGCUGCGCGGACGAUGCAAGCACAGUGUGCGACGCCUGUUGACACAUGAGGUGACCCGCGAAUGGCCCGCCUGCGCGCGACAAGACGCAUAUAGGUCCUAAUCCCGCGCCGUGUGCUCUGUGCAUAUGUCUCGUGCGUGUGUGUGUGGAUGGGACA